UUCCCCUAUAGCUCAGCGGUAGAGCAGGUGGCUGUUAACCACUUGGUCGGAGGUUCAAUUCCUUCUGGGGGAGU
rnacentral:tRNA from 1 species